rnacentral:rRNA from 1 species
AUUGAACGCUGGCGGCAGGCCUAACACAUGCAAGUCGAGCGGUAGAGAGAAGCUUGCUUCUCUUGAGAGCGGCGGACGGGUGAGUAAUGCCUAGGAAUCUGCCUGAUAGUGGGGGAUAACGUCCGGAAACGGACGCUAAUACCGCAUACGUCCUACGGGAGAAAGUGGGGGCUCUUCGGACCUCACGCUAUCAGAUGAGCCUAGGUCGGAUUAGCUAGUAGGUGAGGUAAUGGCUCACCAAGGCGACGAUCCGUAACUGGUCUGAGAGGAUGAUCAGUCACACUGGAACUGAGACACGGUCCAGACUCCUACGGGAGGCAGCAGUGGGGAAUAUUGGACAAUGGGCGAAAGCCUGAUCCAGCCAUGCCGCGUGUGUGAAGAAGGUCUUCGGAUUGUAAAGCACUUUAAGUUGGGAGGAAGGGUCGUUACCUAAUACGUGGCGAUUUUGACGUUACCGACAGAAUAAGCACCGGCUAACUCUGUGCCAGCAGCCGCGGUAAUAC